UACGUAGGUGGCGAGCGUUGUCCGGAUUUACUGGGCGUAAAGCGCGCGCAGGCGGUUCUGUAAGUCCUGGGUGAAAUCGCCCGGCUCAACUGGGCGGGGGCCUGGGGGACUGCGGGACUGGAGGGGCCUAGAGGCCGGUGGAACUCCCGGUGUAGUGGUGAAAUGCGUAGAGAUCGGGAAGAACACCAGUGGCGAAGGCAGCAAACUGGUCCGUAUCUGACGCUGAGGCGCGAAAGCGUGGGUAGCAAACAGG
rnacentral:rRNA from 1 species